GACGAACGCUGGCGGUGUGCUUAACACAUGCAAGUCGAACGGUAAGGCCCUUUCGGGGGUACACGAGUGGCGCACGGGUGAGUAACACGUGAGUAACCUGCCCUCAUCUCUGGGAUAACAGUCGGAAACGGUUGCUAAUACUGGAUAUGAGCUUGCAAGGCAUCUUGUGGGUUGGAAAGAUUUUUUUGGUUGGGGAUGGACUCGCGGCCUAUCAGCUUGUUGGUGAGGUAGUGGCUCACCAAGGCUUCGACGGGUAGCCGGCCUGGGAGGGCGGACGGCCACAUUGGGACUGGGAUAAGGCCCAAACUCCUACGGGAGGCAGCAGGGGGGAAUAUUGCACAAUGGACGGAAGUCUGAUGCAGCAACGCCGCGUGCGGGAUGACGGCCUUCGGGUUGGAAACCGCUUUCAAUUGUGACGAAGCUUUUUGUGACGGUAGCAGUAGAAGAAGCACCGGCUAACUACGUG
rnacentral:rRNA from 1 species